GGCUUCGUAGCUCAGUUGGUAGAGCAUUUGCCGUGUUAGGGCAUGUUGUUUCUGUCGCUGGUUCGGAUCCAGCCGAAAUCU